rnacentral:rRNA from 1 species
AAUCAACGCUGGCGGCGUGCCUCAGACAUGCAAGUCGAACGAUUAAAGCUCUCUUCGGAGAGUGCAUAAAGUGGCGCACGGGUGAGUAACACGUAAGUAAUCUACCUUCGAGUGGGGGAUAACGUCCAGAAACGGACGCUAAUACCGCAUAAUGCAGCGGCACCUAAUGGUGACAGUUGUUAAAGAAUUUAUUCGCUUGAAGAGGAGCUUGCGGCAGAUUAGCUAGUUGGUAAGGUAAUGGCUUACCAAGGCUUCGAUCUGUAACCGGUCUAAGAGGACGGUCGGUCACACUGACACUGAAUAACGGGUCAGACUCCUACGGGAGGCAGCAGUCGGGAAUUUUGGGCAAUGGGCGAAAGCCUGACCCAGCAACGCCGCGUGAAGGAUGAAGUAUUUCGGUAUGUAAACUUCGAAAGAAUGGGAAGAAUCAAUGACGGUACCAUUUAUAAGGUCCGGCUAACUACGUGCCAGCCGCCGCCGUAA